rnacentral:rRNA from 1 species
AGCGAACGCUGGCGGCAGGCCUAACGCAUGCAAGUCGAACGAACUCUUCGGAGUUAGUGGCGGACGGGUGAGUAACACGUGGGAACGUGCCUUUAGGUUCGGAAUAACUCAGGGAAACUUGUGCUAAUACCGAAUGUGCCCUUCGGGGGAAAGAUUUAUCGCCUUUAGAGCGGCCCGCGUCUGAUUAGCUAGUUGGUGAGGUAAAGGCUCACCAAGGCGACGAUCAGUAGCUGGUCUGAGAGGAUGAUCAGCCACAUUGGGACUGAGACACGGCCCAAACUCCUACGGGAGGCAGCAGUGGGGAAUCUUGCGCAAUGGGCGAAAGCCUGACGCAGCCAUGCCGCGUGAAUGAUGAAGGUCUUAGGAUUGUAAAAUUCUUUCACCGGGGACGAUAAUGACGGUACCCGGAGAAGAAGCCCCGGCUAACUUCGUG